rnacentral:rRNA from 1 species
CCUACGGGAGGCUGCAGUCGAGGAUCUUCGGCAAUGGGCGCAAGCCUGACCGAGCGACGCCGCGUGUGGGAUGAAGGCCUUCGGGUUGUAAACCGCUGUCAGAGGGGAGGAAAUACCCUGGGGUUCUCCCCAGGGCUUGACCUAUCCUCAGAGGAAGUACGGGCUAAGUUCGUGCCAGCAGCCGCGGUAAGACGAACCGUACGAACGUUAUUCGGAAUCACUGGGCUUAAAGGGUGCGUAGGCUGUGCGGAAAGUUGGGUGUGAAAUCCCUCGGCUCAACCGAGGAACCGCGCCCAAAACUACCGUGCUGGAGGAAGAUAGAGGUGAGCGGAACUUAGGGUGGAGCGGUGAAAUGCGUUGAUAUCCUAAGGAACACCGGUGGCGAAAGCGGCUCACUGGAUCUUUUCUGACGCUGAGGCACGAAAGCCAGGGUAGCGAAC